rnacentral:ncRNA from 1 species
UUGAACUGAUACCUUGAACUGUCGAAUGAUAGAGUAACGUCUUGAAAGGCAGUCGCUGAUACUUCGAAUAGCGUUCAAUUGAUUGGGAAUUGAAGGUUAUAAGCUCGAUAAAGACAGCUGAGAGUGUACCCUAAGGCUCUAUAUGAUUCGCUAUGUCAUGUGACUAGGUUCUACAGGUCUGAACCUUACUUAUAGAAUCUAUAGAGAAACAGGAAAUGUAACUAGAGGUAGUUAAGUACAUAAUAGGCUGGGCGUCUAUAAA